UACAGAGGUCUCAAGCGUUGUUCGGAUUCAUUGGGCGUAAAGGGUGCGUAGGUGGCGCCGUAAGUCGGAUGUGAAAUUUCGGAGCUUAACUCCGAAACUGCAUUUGAUACUGCGGUGCUUUGAGGACUGGAGAGGAGACUGGAAUUCAUGGUGUAGCAGUGAAAUGCGUAGAGAUCAUGAGGAAGACCAGUGGCGAAGGCGGGUCUCUGGACAGUUCCUGACACUGAGACACGAAGGCCAGGGGAGCAAACGGG
rnacentral:rRNA from 1 species